rnacentral:rRNA from 1 species
GAUGAACGCUGGCGGCGUGCCUAAUACAUGCAAGUCGAGCGAAUGGAUUAAGAGCUUGCUCUUAUGAAGUUAGCGGCGGACGGGUGAGUAACACGUGGGUAACCUGCCCAUAAGACUGGGAUAACUCCGGGAAACCGGGGCUAAUACCGGAUAAUAUUUUGAACUGCAUGGUUCAAAAUUGAAAGGCGGCUUCGGCUGUCACUUAUGGAUGGACCCGCGUCGCAUUAGCUAGUUGGUGAGGUAACGGCUCACCAAGGCAACGAUGCGUAGCCGACCUGUGAGGGUGAUCGGCAACACUGGGACUGAGACACGGCCCAGACGCCUACGGGAGGCAGCAGUAGGGAAUCUUCCGCAAUGGACGAAAGUCUGACGGAGCAACGCCGCGUGAGUGAUGAAGGCUUUCGGGUCGUAAAACUCUGUUGUUAGGGAAGAACAAGUGCUAGUUGAAUAAGCUGGCACCUUGACGGUACCUAACCAGAAAGCCACGGCUAACUACGUGCCAGCCGCCGCAGUAA